rnacentral:SRP_RNA from 1 species
UUAGCGCAGGACAAUAGCGGACAUAUGAACCGUGUCAGGUCUGGAAAGAAGCAGCACUAAGUAUUGCUCCGUUAUGUGUCAUGCGUACAUAU